rnacentral:rRNA from 1 species
UACGAAGGGGGCUAGCGUUGUUCGGAAUUACUGGGCGUAAAGGGCGCGUAGGCGGCGUGUCAGGUCAGGCGUGAAAGCCCCGGGCUCAACCUGGGAACCGCGCUUGAGACUGGCAUGCUCGAGUUCGGGAGAGGAUGGUGGAAUUCCCAGUGUAGAGGUGAAAUUCGUAGAUAUUGGGAAGAACACCGGUGGCGAAGGCGGCUCUCUGGACCGAGACUGACGCUGAGGCGCGAAAGCGUGGGGAGCAAACAGG